UCUCUUCUGCUACAUUCUGCAAAUAGACCUUUCAAAGGGAUGAUGGGUGAGGUAAAAAGAGGUAGAAUUUGUGGAAAAUCAUACUCUUCAAAGACAACCUUCCUCAGAACUGGAGAAGAACCUUCUUUCAUGUUUGUAGGCAAUUUUCCUUGGCUCGUGAUGAUUGCAAACCUCAGAAAAACUGAGGUUUGCUCACCUGCAAAAGCAGCAUGAGGUCUGCCCGCCCACCCACCCAUCCUGACACAUGGCACCACGGCUGCCAUAGGACAUACGCACCAGGCCUUAUCCGAAUGCAGGAAUACCAGACCUCUCCCCUCAGAGUCAGAGCACUACUCCCAAAUUUGGAGGUGCGAGCAGACAACCCUACCUAAGAAACCGAUCGAUUCCUCUUCCUGCACGGACACAUUUUACCCCAGGAUUCCAGCUAAACAUGGAAAGGACUGAACCAUGGGUUGGACAUGGGCCAUGGCUCAAAAGAACAGUACAGCCUCAGAAAGGAUAAGUAAAGAAGGGAAGAAACAGAGAGGGGUUUGAAGCAGCAAUGCCAGCGAAAUGGACACGCAAACAGCACACAAGGGGAAACUGUGGUCACCAGAGGAACCUGUGCUGAUGGUGUGGACACAAGCAGAUAGACAAAAGCCUGUGCUCUCUCACCCAGCUCCUCCCCUAAGCCAUGCAGCAGGAAUCACAGGCAAGAGCAGCCACUAGAAAGAUGGUAGGAAGAUACAGCCAGCAAGCUUCUUCCAGGAUCACUGCAUGAAAGGUGGGGCACGUUAUUUACAGGCCAAGUCAUGUGAAACUACCUGCUUGCUGAUUCAUUAUAAAACCAAAACAGCACCGACAAGGUUCUAUCUUAUUAUCAUGUUUGCAAGUUACAUUGUCAUUAAAAAACUCCAAACACAGGAAAAAAAACUUCCCUUCUUUCUCCUCCCGCUCCAAAAAACAAAGAAAGCAAUAACAAAAACAAAAAAACCCCACCACCAAAACACAGAAAUCCCUGCCAUAAUCCAGGGGAAAAAAAAAAAAAAGUUAUAGUCUUGUGGAAAUCCCAAACAGAGAAAUAAUUAUGCAGAAUAUGGGGAGCAUGGUAAACUUAAAGAACUUGUUUCUAGAAGCAUAUGGAUGAAUAAAGGGGAGAACAAGUGAAAUAAGCAAACAAGUAACCAUCAGUUGAAACUAUUAAUACACAAACCAAAGCCAGCGUCCUAGUAAGAUGAAACUGGUAAUUCACACCUUAAUCUGCUCCUUUAAAGUUCUCUGCAUACUUGACAACUAUUCCUAAGAUUCAGAGGUCUUCUUCUUGGCAAAGGGGGUAAAAACUUUAGUAAUUAAACUUAAACUGAGGCUAUGAAACAAUCAAAACAUUUUGCUGAUUGUGAGCAUGAAGUCAAAAGUUAAUUUUAUAACAUACACUGACAGAGGAUAAAGCCAGCUCUCCUCACAGACAGGAAUGCUCUGGACAUCCUGUUGUGAAAAUGGCUUAAAAGAGUAAUUCCAGUCAGGGAUGGAUUUUAUAAAAUAGUACUAAUUAAAAACACAAAUAAAAGUACUAGAACAAAAGUCUAUAUGAGCUCACAUAUUUGGAAAAACACAUGUUUCUAUUCACUCAGUAAUAAUUCAAAAGCUGAGUCAGUUUACUAUUAUAUCAAUAAUUAAAAUAAUGUAAAUUUCUUCUCUAAAGCCCCAAAUGCUUUGUUCAUUAGUCAGCUGCUACUUGACACAUCUACAACCACCAAAAAGUUCUAUUCUUUUCUAGCUGUAUGUGUUGAAGCGAUGUAUUGCAGGUACUGAAGUGUUAAUAUUGUUUGCACUUUGUUUAAAGUUGAAUACACACUUCAGGGAAAAAGGCAAUAUCAAGAUUAGUCAGUUCCCCCAAAAACUACAGAAACAAAUAUAAGUUCCCUAUCAGACAGGUGCCUGUGAGAGUUAAAUUAUUUCUCCAAACAGGCAUAAAAACCCUUCAAAGAACUGCAAACAAUAUUUUAAUCUCUCAUUGCAGAGAGCAGGGAAUCAAGCCUUUUUUAUAUUAUUAUUAAAAACAAAUGGACUUAUGACAAAUGAUAGGCCUUUUUGCAGAUGAAUAAUUGUGCGUGAGAAAUUCACAAACUUUUCUUUUGCUUCUACUAGGAGACCUGAAGUUCCAUGCUUA